UAAUAUGAAAUGUUCAACUCAUGCCACAUAAGACGGGUACGUGUGGGGGCUUGGGAGCCUCACAUAUUAGUUAUCAAAUGAUUCACUAAGUAUCAUUCAUGAUAGAUGAACAAGAACAAAAAAAAAAAACGUUGAAGACAAAAAAAAAGAAGCUCGGCCAUGGAGCAAUGUUAACCGAGAGGGAGAUUGGAGAAAAAGAAAAAUUUGAGGUGUGAAAUUGUUGUAACAUUCAAGUGAUUAGCAAGGUUAAGAAGCCAAGUUGAUUAAGGCUAAAAGAGCGAUGAGACGAACGGGUUACGAAUAGCCGCUAACAGGUAUUUGAAAGUUGCCUAAUAUGAUUAUUACUUGAAUUUCCAAAAGAAAAUGGCUUCUGAAUCGCUUUUAGAAGGUUUUGUACUUCAAAAGCUCAUAACUUUCGUAUACUAAAUCGGAUUGACCCGAAACUUGUUUCUGAGCCUUCAGAUGUCGGUAAAUAUAUUUGUCCAUUGAGUCUUGGAAUUUAUUUAUUUAUAUGCAUAUAGUUUCUCACUACUCUACUCGUGGAUGCCUCAAUGCUUCCUUCACUGAGCCCGGGCCAGGAUAUGUUAUCACGCGUAUUCCACUGCAUUGUUCGCCGUGCCUCGAUGUGAGAGGGCAGGUACACAUGUACAUGGGUUGUGGAGUAUGCUGUGCCAUGUACAUAUAUUCUGAUAUGUGAUGAUGUGAUAUGAUAUGGCCAUCUGAUAUGUUAUGACAUGUGCACAUUCUGAUAUGAUAUGAUAUGUUACGGAGCUAUUCCCUACUCUGGAGUAUGUUGUGUUGUGGCGCCAGUGACGGGGUGGCGACCACGUUCUGUUCACCGAGUCCUAAAACGGGGCCGGAUAUGGCAUAUGAUUGACAUGCAUUAUCUAUGUUUUGUGAGUACAGACGUUCGUUCAGGUAACCCGCCAGUGUAGGGUACUUAUUCUGCUGUUUGGAGUACUCCUUUUGAUCCGGAGCUCAUAGUUUUGGUACCUAUCUUUUGUGAUACAUGUUUCUGUAUAUCUGAUUAUUUGGGGUACGGCGGGGCCCUGUCCCGCCAUAUAAUUCUGUCAUGGUUUGUAGAGGCCUGUAGACAUAUAUGUGGGUCAUGGGUUAUGUUUGUUCGAAUAUGUUUGUGAUUUGUGCCUUAAGCGGUCCCGUUUGCUAUUAUGGCCAAGACGGCCCACCUGUUUGUAUAUGUAUGUAUAUCUGGGCGAUGUGUAUUCCGCCAGCCUACCGGAUUUGAUUUGAUGUUUCUGUACGGGCA